rnacentral:lncRNA from 1 species
AAACUUUCAAAAUAUGAGGGUUUGAUCUCAUUUGACCCUUCGUAAACCUAAUUGCUAGGUAACGAAACGCGUUGGCGAAGACGGUUCGGCAAUCCGACGAGCCGUUACAAAGUUAUUAAAGAAAUGGACGUUUAGGCUUCGGGUCCGCCGGGAGGGCCGAGGCGACGUCGUAAAAUCAUGGAAAUGGAUUUGAGGCAUCGUGGCACAUAACCGAAGACCUAUAAUUUGCGGGGCUGCGAAGCGGGGCACGGUUGAGGCGCAGUUGCAGUAUCGGGCCGUGCCGGAUACGGGUGCCGCGGGAGGCCGAUUGCAAGUGUCAACAAGCAAUCGGAACGCGAAUCAAGGUGGGUUGUGCUUACCGAAGCGACUAGGUCGCCUUUAUGUCUAAGCGAAUUAAGAAUCCUUGUUGAUGCAUAUAAAUGUAAAUGACGCAUGUACCUAAUGCUAAGUGAUGUAAUGUAGAAGUGCUAAUUAGAAUGCAUAAUGAGCAAGUUAAAUAAUGCAUGUUAAUGUAAAUGCUAACUAGAAAUGCAUAAUGAGCAAGUUACAUAAUGCUAGAUAAUGCAUAUACUAGUAUGAUGCAAAUGCUAAGUAGAUGUAUGCUUAGCAUUGUGAGAUUAUAUAUGCAUAUGAACUUGGUUGAUAACUCUAGCUUGAUUAGAGAGAUAACAUUGGAAAAUAGGAUUUGUAUAACUGUAAUACUUGCUAUGGACAAUUAGCAUGUGAACUAGAUCGAGUGGCAUCUAACUUAGUGUUAAAGAAUACAAGUCGUGAGUAGACCUAGAAUCAAAUAGAUCGAGUGGCAUCUAACCUAGUGUUGAUAAACAUAGGUCGUACAUAGGGAUGUUAAACCUAGUGUCAGUGAACAUAGGUUGAACUAGUAAACCUAGAGUUUAUAACCUAGGUUGUGAUAUAGUAAACCUAGAGUGGCUUGAACCUAGGUUGUUGUGUAUAGUGGUAGCAACCACUAGGUUGUAUUAGGUCGACAGCAUAGGGUUGGUUAUGGACCUUCGACCUGUGUAAGUGGAUUCCGGAAUCCCAGGACCUAUGAUGACCUUGGUAUCAAGGCUAGGGCGUGUGCGACGAUUUCGUCGCCGAGGUUGAUACCAAGGAUGGAUUAGGGGUGAAUGUGCAGAGAUCACCGCCCGGGGCUUGAACCAUUGUCGUAGCGUGUGCGACGAUUUCGCCGCCGGAUGGUUAAGCCAAGUUGUGUAUUAUGCCUCCAGAUCAACUUGAGCCAUUGUUGGGUGAGGUGCGUUCGCCGCCAGAUAGCCAAGUCGAGGGACUAGCUUGAACGAGUGUUCGGCGUGUGCGACGACUUCGCCGCCAGCUGGUUAAGUCUUAGAGGGCAGCCAGUGCGCGGACUAUCCAUGGAUGAUUGACUCGAGGCCGAGUCGCAUGGUUAGCUUGAUUAGGUUAACAGAAACCUUGAAAGCCAGUGAUAAAGGUAAGAACUAAGGUAAUAGAGACCUUAGAGGCAAAGUGAACUUGAGUUGUGAACUGAGGUAAUAGAAACCUUAGAGUAAAGAAAUGUGAGCUAAGGUAGCUAAGUAAAAGUAGAAUUCAAAUAAUCUACUAAAUAUUGCAUAGAGUUGCAUGACUUGCAUAUUGCAUAUUGUUAGGCCCAACAUGUAUUUCAAUUGAAUAUAUUUGCAUUGUAUAUCGUUAAACUAACAUGUUGCAGGGCCUACUUAGAUCUAAUGGUCGAGCUUUUCCCUUGGGUGGCCGUACCCACUGGGAACCAUGGAGUUGGUUCUCACCCCACGUUGUUUUGGGGUGUUUAUAGGUUCUUACGUGAGCGGCACGGCGGCGCGAGGAAAGGGCGUAGCUCAGUAGAUAGCGCCCUAUCCAGAGACCAGAGCUAGCAGUACCCCGUCGACAUAGCCUAGGGGUAUAGAAAAUGAAAAGAACACAAUGUAUCAACUUGUAAAUAAAUUUGUAAUAACUAGAUUGUAAUGGGAAGAAAUCAAAUGAAAAUUGUGAUGUAAAACCAAUGAAUGUGAAUGUAUGUAAUAACAUAGAAUGUGUUAUGUUGUUGAUACCUUCCUUAUACAAUCUGUUUGUUAAGUACUGUUCCUGGUUGGAACCAUUGUAUUGUAUUGAUUGCGAUGCCUUGAAUGUACAGGGGAGACUCUGUCCGUAGUACAGGGGAAACCCUAUCCAUUAAGCGCUGUCGGCGCCCCGACCUCGGCCAAAUAGGCGGGUGGUCGCGGGCUGUGACAAUAGGGUAGUUAACAGUGUAUGAACAUCAUAUGAAUAUGUGAAAUUAUGUUGAUAUAAACAUAGAAAACCGUGGAAACUAUACUUUGACCCUAUGAAUGCAUGGACAGUGACAUAGUGAACUUGGUGAUAUUAUUACUACAGAUUUGAUUAAUGUUAAGUUUGAACAUAGAGAGCCAAUUGGAAUAAGAUAUGACAUUGUCUGGUAUUGGAUCCUCUAAAGAAGGGUCAGAUCAUACUCACAUCAGUUUUGUUCAAGGAAGGUCGCUCCUCCUUGAACGAUGAGCUCCGGAGUAGUCAUCUUAAACUGGACCAGGAGGUUGCGUCUCCCCCAGUUGACAGUCCCGUCGGGAUGUAGCUUGCGUCUCCCCGAUAUUUGGGAUAGUGUCAGUGAGUUAUUGUUAACCAAAGGGUCAACCAAUUAAUUGGGUAAAUUCAGUAAAGCAUACAUGCAUAUUUACAGUUUUAUAUAUUGUUCUUUCAGCUUUGUACAGGCAUUGUAGUAGUUACAUGUUAUAGUUGGUUACUAUCUGUUUACUUUUCUUGGCUACAUAUGCCUGAGUAGACCUAGUGGGUGAGUUGGUGAGUUUGGCGGUCGAACCCACUAAAAAUUCAGUAGUUCUCAUACCACUAACCAUACAGGUUCCAGUGCGAGCGGUGUGGCCGAGGAUCGUGGCAAGAUUCCCGCAGCUUAGCUAGCUGACACCAGAAUAUAUUAGUUUACUAUUUUGGAUGUCAUGUGAUACAUUUUGAUGUACCGAGACUUGCAAAUGAAUGUAUAAAGAACAUGUAAAUAACUAAAUGUUUCAGUUAUUCAGUUAUGUAUAGUUCAGUUUUAAAGUUUUUAAAUUACAGCAAAUUUCAUGUAUAGCUAGCUUACUAUCACUUGUGGUUGCUGCUUGCCCUCGUGCAAGCUCUGUGUAAUGAAAUGUUAUCCUGGGAUUUGUUCAUUUCUUUAUACAGAUACUCGUUGUUGUUGAACCUUGGGCGGACAGGGAAGGUGCUUUCUGUUCGGUGUCUGUGUACGGGCCCGAAUCAACUAAAUUGGCGAUAGCGGGACGUGACAUAGAACCUCCCCAAAUGAAAGGGAUUUUGGGUUGUGAGUUAUUGGAGUUAACAAGGUUAACCGGUAAGAUUGGGGAAAAGCCAAAGUAAAAUCAUAGAAAAGCAUGCAUGCAUAAUCAUUCCUCUUUGAUUAUAUAUCCGCUGACAGUUUUCUUGCAGGCAUAGUAUUAGCAUUAGUUUGGCUACUAUUUCUCGUUCUUUUAAAUACUUAUGCCUAAAUAGACCUAGUGGGUAAGUCGGUGAGGUCGGUUGCCGAACCCAUUGGAAACUUCGUUGUAGUUCUCACACCACUAACCCUACAGAUCCGAGCGCGAGCGGGGCGGCGGAGGAUCGAGGCAAGGGUAUUGCGCCAUAGCUAGUGGCCACCAGAGUACUUGCAUUUUAAUCAUUCCCAUUUUUUUCAUGUACAAAUUUCUCUUGUUGAUCUAGAGAUGUAAAAGUUGUAAACAUUCAUGUAUUUGGGAGGAGGAUUAUGAUGUAAAAAGAUAUUAUGAAUGAAAGGAAAUGAAUGUAAUAGUUUUACUUUACUAGUAUCUGGUUUAAAUGUAAUCAAAUAUUAUGUAUGGUUGUAAGUUGUAGCUUAGAGCUUUCGCUUCCGUUGUUGCUUGCCCUCGUGCAAGCUUUGUAUAAUAGCAAAUCUCUUUGUUUGAUUUCUUAAUUAUAAUUGAUGCUAGAGCCUUGGGCGGGCAGGGGAGGCCCUAUCCGUUCGGCGUCUGUUGACGUGGCCCGAAUCCGACCAAAUUGGCGGGGAGCGGGGCGUGACAGGAUAAGUCGGCGAGGUCGGUUGCCGAACCCACUGGGAACUUCGUUGUAGUUCUCACACCACUAACCCUACAGAUCCGAGCGCGAGCGGGGCGGCGGAGGAUCAAGGCAAGGGUAUUGCGCCAUAGCUAGUGGCCACCGGAGUACUUGCAUAUAGUCAUUCCCUUUUUGGUUCAUGUAUCAAUUUUCUUUUGUUGACCUAGAGAUCUAAAAGUUGUAAACAUUUAUGUAUUUUGUGUGAAUGAUUAUGAUGUAACAAAGAUAUUAUGAAUGAAAGAAAAUGAAUGUAAUAGUUUUAGUUUACUAGUAUUUGGUUUAAAUGUAAUCAAAUAUUAUGUAUGGUUGUAUGUUGUAGCUUAGAGCUUUCAUUUCUAUUGUUGUUUGCCCUCGUGCAAGCUUGUAUAAUUGCAAAUCUCUUUAUUCUGAUUGCUUAAUUAUACUUGAUGCUUGAGCCUUGGGCGGGCAGGAGAGGCCCUGUCAGUCACGCCCCGGGAUCGAUACCAAUUUGGGCCGGCCCGGGCACAUCAAACAGACGCCGAACGGACAGAGUUUUCCCUGUCCGCCCAAGGCUCAUCACCUGUACAUUUUCAAGUAGAGAAAAGCACUAGCGGAAAUAUACAAAUACGGCUUACACGAGGGUAAGCAAUAGCCAUGAGUGAAAGAAAGGGAAACUAAACAUCUACUCAAGUAUUAUGAUUCACUUUUGAUCACAUACAUUGCAUUUAACUUUCAUAUUCAAGAUUCUUUACAUUAAUUGUAUCAUUUCUUUUACAUCACAUUUGCCCAAAAUAAACAUUACACUCUUUUUCUCAUUUGCUUUAUACAUAAUCAUCUUCAAAUACAAAAGAAGGUAUAUGGUGGCUACUAACAAAAUGCAAAGCCCGACUCGGUAGUCACUGUCUAUGGCGCGAUACCUUUACCGCGGUCGUUCGCCGGCUUGCUCGGUCCCGGCUCUGUGGAAUAGUGGGGUGAGAACUAUAACAAAGUUCCCAGUGGGUUCGGUCCCAAUCCCACCGACUUUCCUACUAGGUCUAACUUAGGCAUAAUAGAAAGAAUAAGCAGAUAAGUAGCCAACUAUACAAAUGCAGCUAAUAUGCGUGAACAAUGCUAUCAAUAAGAUGCUCAAUAUAAAUUCAUGAAGAAUGCAUGGUCGAUGUUCUUUGUUCUUUCGUUCAAUCUCAAGGCUAACCCGGGGGUAUCGCUUCAUUAACUCACCAACUCAAAAUCCAUGAUCGUGGGCCCUCAGCUUCCUCCCGCUAGGACCGUCCUCUGAGUAACUCAACCCAGUGAUGACAAACUCCGGAGCGCAUCGCCCGAGGGGGAGCGACCACCCUCGAGCAAGAACUUAUAGCGAGUAUGAUCAAUCCUUAACUCUAAGGAUAUUCAGUUCAAUCUAUUCCUUAACUCUAAGGAAUUAUGCACAAAUGACCCUUAGCUCUAAGAUUGAAUGUCAUCGUGUCAAUCUCAUAUUCUUUGCAUUCUUUAUCUUUGACCAUAUCAAUACACUAACUCUAAUGUUCUUUACAUUCUUUACUUUCAUCAUGUCUUUACACUAACUCUAGUGUUCUUUAUGCCACACAUUUAAUGCUAUCUCUAGCCAUUAUUCUUUAUGCCACAUUUUGUUGCUAACUCUAGCAAUUGUCAUUCUUUGUACCACAUUUAUUCUCUUGGAUGCCACACACUAGCUCUAGUGUUCUUUACGUCAAUCUUUAUGCUAACUUUAACUUUCAUUCUCGCAUUUCAUUAUCCUCAUGUCAUAUGUCACUUGUUCUUUAACUUUACUAAGUUCUUAUCAUCAUACAUGCACAUAUAGGGUUAUUACAUUCUUAUUGGUUCUCAACCAUCUAAUGAUGCACUUGAACUCACAAAAUGCAAACAUUCACAUAUUCAUAAUCUCAUUACCCUACUAUGCAUGCAACAAUAUACUCAUGGAUGCUCAAGAAGUGACACAUUAGACAUAAAGGGAAUUUCAACAAGUUUGGAGAGCACCACCCACCUUGUAGGCGUACUAGGAUGCUACAAUGAUUUUCUUGGAAUUUUUAGACUCCUAGUUCGUCACCUGCGGCAAAACGAAGCCAUAUUAGGCCAUUUUGCACAUAAUUUUACAUCGGCUUUUCGUAACAUUAAACCGAGCGCACCAACGAGUCGGAAAUACCCCCAAUUAGAUUUUUAGAGGGUCAAUUUCACUUUAGAACGCUCACAAGCAAAAGCCCCAAAUUUGGGUGCCCUAACUUCAUAUAUUCCAAAUCUAAUGUUUUGAUCUCAAAGAUAAGCAAAAGAAAGCUUAAUCUACUCUAGAAGUUCCAUAAAAAGCUCAAUCCAAACCCUAGUUUGGAUUCUACCAUGAGAGGGGUUGAAGCUCACCUCUAAGCUUCACCACAUAUACCCAAUCCAUGGUUUUGAUCUCUUAAAGAAGCAAAAGAAAGCUUCAAACACUCUAGGGAUCUCAUGAAAACUAUCCUUAGGGAAAUUGAAACCCUAGCUUAAGUUCUACCAUAAGAGGAGAUGCAAGCUUACCUUGUAAGCUCUCCUUUGUUACUCCAAAGGGGAAGAAGAGGAAGUAGCUCUACUCCUUAGCUUUUUCUUUACCUCCUACUCCUCCUUCUUCUUUUUUCCUUUCCUUUCUUUCUUUUCUUCUUCUCCUUCUUGUCUUCUAGAGAGAGAAAGAGAGGUGAGAGUGUGAGAGGGUGAGAAUGAGAGAAAACACCUCAUAACCCUCCCAACAUAACCCAUAUAUUAUAUUUUUGCAAAUAAACCCCUCAGCUUUUAUCUUAUUACACUGCCAAAACUAGGUAGAUUUCGUGCUCGGGGACCGGUCUCCCCGACUUGGUACCGGUCCAAGAGAGCUCUCCCCGCGGGCAGCCAGGGCCCCCGCGCGAAGCAACCGGUCUCUCCCAGAGGGACCGGUCUCUCGGGGACCGGUCUCUCCCCGCAGGGUCCGGUUCCCGAGAGCUGUGUAACACACUGGACCUGUGCAAAUUGCAAAGUUCGAGUGUUUGACUUAAGUUUCGAGCUUUUCCACUCUUUGUGGAGGGUCGUAGAAUGUUUUUCGACCUAAAAAGUUCGAAUUAUGGGUUUUGGCAGUCCUGAGAGUUUUUACUCUCAGGAAUCGAUCCCUGGUGAUAGAGACCAGUCCCCUCGGAAUAGUAUCGCGGCCAGGCUUGAGGCAACCUGUCCCUGGGGGAAGAGACCGGUCCUCGAGAGCGUUUUCGUAGGGAGAGACCAGUCCCAUGUGGGGAGAGACUGGCGAGAGCUGAUUUUGCGGUAGGGUCCCGAGGGACCGGUCCCAGCUGGGAGAGACCGGUCCCUCUGGGCGAAAAUUGCCCAGUCCAGGGCAAUGCACUGGUUGGAUUGUUGGGGGACCUAAGUGGAUAUUGUUACUUUGUGAAAGUUUUGAGGAGCCCAAGGAUCUAUCUAGAUUGUAUCUAUCACCUAGAGGGGGGUGAAUAGGUGAAAUAGCCAAAAACCACAAAUCUCAAUGCGAUAAAAAUAAAUGCAGAAAAUAAAAAUCACACUGAGAUUUACGUGGGAAAACUCCAAUUUGGAGAAAAACCCACGGGACUACCACGCGAAAAAAUAAUUCACUAAGAGAAAAGAUUACAAGGUGAUUACCGACUCCACGGACUAAAACCUCUCUUAACCUCCUAUGGAUCUCGCACAAUCCUCCGGGUUGUCCACGCCUUCACGUUCGAAUCCACGAACGCCUCCACUUCGAAUCCACGAAGCUUCAAUCACGCCGAAUCCACGACGCCACUCAAAUCCACGAGCCCACGAUCCGAAUCCACGAACCGCCUUCGUUCACGCCGAAUCCACGACGCCGCUCAUGAAAAGCAUCAUGAUUAUGGUGAUCCUUCGCUUAGGAGUAUCGUAGAAAACUAGGGAAUAGAACUCCAAGCGAAGCGGAGAUCAAAUCGACAUAUAGAUAUAAAAAUCCGAUAUCUCGAUUUGACCUAAAAGAAGCUAAUAUGUAGAAAAUAGGUUUUAGAUGAAAUCCGAGCCUUUAGGGUUUCUCAAAUAUGUAUUUUCGUGAUGCUUGAUGUGUUAAAGAACGUAGACUUUAGAAUCAAUUGGAGUUGAAUUAGAAAGUUUUCACGGUUUUACACAGUGUACCGGUACACGAAAGGCUGUCACCGGUUACACAAGGACGGAACAGAAAUACGAAGCCAAGUCAAUGGCUGUACCGGUACGGGAUCAAUUGCUGUACCGGUACACAAUGCAAUCUUUGGGAUUUUGCAUUGUUUCGGGUUCCGUAAACUUCCGAAGCACUUUCUAAUCAACUAAACUUUAAUUAAAUGAUUCUAAUGCCUAUAACUAAGUAUGAAUCACCAUAACAUGAAUUAAAACUUUACCUGAGCAUCGUGUGUAACAUACCAGAUUUUGGUAUAAAAAUAAAAAUAAAUAAAAAUAGUGUGAGAAACUAUUUUUAUUGGGUUUAUAGAAGUAAAACAUAAGUCAGAAGUGACUUGUGCUGAAAUCGGAAUGAAAACAGAAGAUCUAGAAUUUUCUGUUGGAAACGAGACAGAGAAAUUAGCAGAAAAUGCACAGUCUCAGAAAAUUAUGAAAAUUGGAGGAUAAGUCAGAAAUAUUUUUAAGAGGCUAGAUUUAAAGUUUCAUAUUUUUCUGACACCCGUAGAGUGAGAAAUAAAAUCUAACAGUUAUCUGAUAAAGAUUACAGUUCGGUACAGUUUUCGGUGACCAAAUGAGGUCGAAACUGAAAACUUAAAAUAUAUUCUUGCUCAGUACGUAAAACCGAACAUGACUGUCAAGUUUGAGCUCAAACGGACGUUUAGGAAACUCCGGCGAAAGUUAUCAGAUUUUAAGUUGCCUGGAGUGAAUAGUGUUGGGUGUUAAUGUAUAAAGAAGCUUUGCUUCUUCUUCUUCCUCCCAGCCGCACACACACACCCGCACGCACACACACAACACACGCAUGGAAAGGAAAGGAGAAACCUCUCUUUUCUCUCUCUAAUUCUCUCCCAAAAUUGAUGAAAUUGGUGGAAAUUGAAGCUUGGAGAUGGAUCGCCUCAUCUUCUUCAUCUUCUCCAUGGUUUGGAGCUAAUUGAGAGGUAAGCUUUUGCUACCAUUUAAUGGUAGAUCCUUAAUGGUUGGUUUAAAUACCUUAGAAAUGGAUUUAGAGGAAUCCUAGCAUGCUAUAUAGAUGAAUGAUGCUUGAUUCAUGAAGGAAUUUGGUGAAUUUUUAUCUAGUUGUAAACCUAGGGUUCAAAAUGCUAAUUUUUAAAAUAUGAGGGUUUGAUCUAAUUUAACCCUCUGUAAACCUAAUUGCUAGGUAAACGAACGCGUUGGCGAAGUCGGUUCGGCGAUUCGUCGAGCCGUUACGAAGUUAUUAAAGAAACGGACGUUUAGGCUUCGUUUUCGCCUAGAGGGCCGAGGUGACGUCUUAUGCUCAUGAAAACGGAUUUGAAGCAUCGUGGCACAUAACCGAAGACCUUUAAUUUUCAGAUCGUGGAUUGGAGGCCGUUCGGGUGGUCGCGCAAGAGAUCGGGCCAAACCGAGUGCCGGGUGCCGCGGGCGGCCGAUUGCA